GGAAAGAACAGAACUGGGAGCGG
rnacentral:piRNA from 1 species